GGCCUGGUGGCGCAACGGUAGCCGCGUCUGACUCCAAGAUGAGGUUGCGUGUUCAAAUCACGUCCGGGUCA